GAUUGCCCCAGUAACGGCGAGUGAAGCGGCAAGAGCUCAAAUUUGAAAUCUGGCCUCCCCCGGGGGCCCGAGUUGUAAUUUGCAGAGGAUGUUUCGGGUGCGGCCGCCGUCUAAGUUCCUUGGAACAGGACGUCAGAGAGGGUGAGAAUCCCGUCUUGGGCGGGCGGUCCGCGCCCGUGUGAAGCUCCUUCGACGAGUCGAGUUGUUUGGGAAUGCAGCUCUAAGCGGGUGGUAAAUUUCAUCUAAAGCUAAAUAUUGGCCGGAGACCGAUAGCGCACAAGUAGAGUGAUCGAAAGGUUAAAAGCACCUUGAAAAGGGAGUUAAACAGCACGUGAAAUUGUUGAAAGGGAAGCGCUUGCGGCCAGACUCGGGGGCGGGGUUCAGCGGGUGCUCGUCGCCCGUGUAUUCCUCGUUUCCCGGGCCAGCAUCAGUUUCGACGGCCGGUCAAAGGCCCCCGGAAUGUGUCGUCUCUCGGGACGUCUUAUAGCCGGGGGUGCAAUGCGGCCCGUCGGGACUGAGGAACGCGCUCCGGCUCGGAUGCUG
rnacentral:rRNA from 1 species